GAUGAACGCUAGCUACAGGCUUAACACAUGCAAGUCGAGGGGCAGCAUGAAUUUACUUCGGUAGAUUUGAUGGCGACCGGCGCACGGGUGCGUAACGCGUAUCCAACCUUCCCGUUACUCCGGGAUAGCCUUCCGAAAGGGAGAUUAAUACCGGAUGGUGUUUGAAGUCCGCAUGAAAUUCAGACUAAAGAUUUAUCGGUCAUGGAUGGGGAUGCGUAGGAUUAGGUAGUAGGCGGGGUAACGGCCCACCAAGGCGACGAUCGUUAGGGGUUCUGAGAGGAAGGUCCCCCACACUGGAACUGAGACACGGUCCAGACUCCUACGGGAGGCAGCAGUGAGGAAUAUUGGUCAAUGGGCGGGAGCCUGAACCAGCCAAGUAGCGUGAAGGAUGACUGCCCUACGGGUUGUAAACUUCUUUUGUUUGGGAAUAAAAGACGCUACGUGUAGCGUUCUGCAUGUACCUUACGAAUAAGCAUCGGCUAAUUCCGUG
rnacentral:rRNA from 1 species